CAUUACCGAGAUUAGGGUCCAUUAGGACUCGACCCUCCCACCCUUUGUGUAUAUAUACUUUUGUUGCUUUGGCGGUCACCCGGCGGCACACGGCGCUGCUAGACAUGUCGAGUCCCGGGCCCGCCAGAGGCCCUUUUAAAUCUGCCUUUUAUCAGUGAUGGUCUGAGCAUUAUUUUUGCAAAUUUAAAUUAAAACUUUCAACAACGGAUCUCUUGGUUCUGGCAUCGAUGAAGAACGCAGCGAAAUGCGAUAAGUAAUGUGAAUUGCAGAAUUCAGUGAAUCAUCGAAUCUUUGAACGCACAUUGCGCCCUCUGGUAUUCCGGGGGGCAUGCCUGUUCGAGCGUCAUUACACCUCUCAAGCUUCGCUUGGUAUUGGGUCUCCGUCCCCUGUGGACGGGCCUGAAAAUCAGUGGCAGUGCAACCGGUACUCAAGCGUAGUAAUAUUUAUAUCCCGCUUUGGAGUAACCCGGAUGGACUCGCCAGAUAACCCCGAAUUUAUUUCAAUGAUGACCUCGGA
rnacentral:sRNA from 1 species